AUGAACGCUAGCUACAGGCUUAACACAUGCAAGUCGAGGGGCAGCAUGAACUUAGCUUGCUAAGUUUGAUGGCGACCGGCGCACGGGUGAGUAACACGUAUCCAACCUGCCGAUGACUCGGGGAUAGCCUUUCGAAAGAAAGAUUAAUACCCGAUGGCAUAGUUCUUCCGCAUGGUAGAACUAUUAAAGAAUUUCGGUCAUCGAUGGGGAUGCGUUCCAUUAGGUUGUUGGCGGGGUAACGGCCCACCAAGCCUUCGAUGGAUAGGGGUUCUGAGAGGAAGGUCCCCCACAUUGGAACUGAGACACGGUCCAAACUCCUACGGGAGGCAGCAGUGAGGAAUAUUGGUCAAUGGACGAGAGUCUGAACCAGCCAAGUAGCGUGAAGGAUGACUGCCCUAUGGGUUGUAAACUUCUUUUAUACGGGAAUAAAGUGAGGCACGUGUGCCUUUUUGUAUGUACCGUAUGAAUAAGGAUCGGCUAACUCCGUGCCAGCAGCCGCGGUAAUACGGAGGAUCCGAGCGUUAUCCGGAUUUAUUGGGUUUAAAGGGAGCGUAGGCGGACGCUUAAGUCAGUUGUGAAAGUUUGCGGCUCAACCGUAAAAUUGCAGUUGAUACUGGGUGUCUUGAGUACAGUAGAGGCAGGCGGAAUUCGUGGUGUAGCGGUGAAAUGCUUAGAUAUCACGAAGAACUCCGAUUGCGAAGGCAGCUUGCUGGACUGUAACUGACGCUGAUGCUCGAAAGUGUGGGUAUCAAACAGGAUUAGAUACCCUGGUAGUCCACACAGUAAACGAUGAAUACUCGCUGUUUGCGAUAUACAGUAAGCGGCCAAGCGAAAGCGUUAAGUAUUCCACCUGGGGAGUACGCCGGCAACGGUGAAACUCAAAGGAAUUGACGGGGGCCCGCACAAGCGGUGGAGCAUGUGGUUUAAUUCGAAGCAACGCGAAGAACCUUACCAGGUCUUGACAUCCAACUAACGAAGUAGAGAUACAUUAGGUGCCCUUCGGGGAAAGUUGAGACAGGUGGUGCAUGGUUGUCGUCAGCUCGUGUCGUGAGAUGUUGGGUUAAGUCCCGCAACGAGCGCAACCCUUACUGUUAGUUGCUACGCAAGAGCACUCUAGCAGGACUGCCGUUGACAAAACGGAGGAAGGUGGGGAUGACGUCAAAUCAUCAUGCCCCUUAUGACCAGGGCUACACACGUGCUACAAUGGCGUAAACAAAGAGAAGCGAACUCGCGAGGGUAAGCAAAUCUCAAAAAUAACGUCUCAGUUCGGACUGUAGUCUGCAACCCGACUACACGAAGCUGGAAUCGCUAGUAAUCGCAGAUCAGAAUGCUGCGGUGAAUACGUUCCCGGGCCUUGUACACACCGCCCGUCACACCAUGGGAGUUGGAAAUGCCCGAAGUCAGUGACCCAACCGCAAGGAGGGAGCUGCCGAAGGCAGGUUCGAUAACUGGGGUG
rnacentral:rRNA from 1 species